rnacentral:rRNA from 1 species
CUGAGUACGGCGGAACACGUGAAAUUCCGUCGGAAUCCGGGAGGACCAUCUCCCAAGGCUAAAUACUCCCUAGUGACCGAUAGUGAACCAGUACCGUGAGGGAAAGGUGAAAAGCACCCCGGAAGGGGAGUGAAACAGUUCCUGAAACCGUGUGCCUACAAGUAGUUAGAGCCCGUUAAUGGGUGAUAGCGUGCCUUUUGUAGAAUGAACCGGCGAGUUACGAUUUGUUGCAAGGUUAAGCGGAAAAAGCGGAGCCGUAGCGAAAGCGAGUCUGAAUAGGGCGCAUAAGUAACAGGUCGUAGACCCGAAACCAGGUGAUCUACCCAUGUCCAGGAUGAAGGUAAGGUAAUACUUACUGGAGGUCCGAACCCACGCACGUUGAAAAGUGCGGGGAUGAGGUGUGGGUAGCGGAGAAAUUCCAAUCGAACUUGGAGAUAGCUGGUUCUCUCCGAAAUAGCUUUAGGGCUAGCCUCGAGGUAAAGAGUCAUGGAGGUAGAGCACUGUUUGGACUAGGGGCCCUUCUCGGGUUACCGAAUUCAGAUAAACUCCGAAUGCCAUGUACUUAUACUCGGGAGUCAGACUGCGAGUGAUAAGAUCCGUAGUCGAAAGGGAAACAGCCCAGACCACCAGUUAAGGUCCCCAAAUAUAUGUUAAGUGGAAAAGGAUGUGGGGUUGCUUAGACAACCAGGAUGUUGGCUUAGAAGCAGCCACCAUUGAAAGAGUGCGUAAUAGCUCACUGGUCGAGUGACCCCGCGCCGAAAAUGUACCGGGGCUAAACAUAUUACCGAAACUGUGGAUGAACCUCUUUAGAGGUUCGUGGUAGGAGAGCGUUCUAAGGGCGGUGAAGUCAGACCGGAAGGACUGGUGGAGCGCUUAGAAGUGAGAAUGCCGGUAUGAGUAGCGAAAGAAGGGUGAGAAUCCCUUCCACCGAAUAUCUAAGGUUUCCUGAGGAAGGCUCGUCCGCUCAGGGUUAGUCGGGACCUAAGCCGAGGCCGAUAGGCGUAGGCGAUGGACAACAGGUAGAGAUUCCUGUACCAGUGCUAAUUGUUUAACCGAUGGGGUGACACAGAAGGAUAGGGAAUCGCACGAAUGGAAAUGUGCGUCCAAGCAGUGAGUGUGAGAAGUAGGCAAAUCCGCUUCUCGCGAAGCAUGAGCUGUGAUGGGGAAGGAAAUUAAGUACGGAAGUUCCUGAUUUCACGCUGUCAAGAAAAGCCUCUAGGAAGAGUAGUACUGCCCGUACCGCAAACCGACACAGGUAGAUGAGGAGAGAAUCCUAAGGUGAGCGAGAGAACUCUCGUUAAGGAACUCGGCAAAAUGACCCCGUAACUUCGGGAGAAGGGGUGCUCUAUUAGGGUGCAAGCCCGAGAGAGCCGCAGUGAAUAGGCCCAGGCGACUGUUUAGCAAAAACACAGGUCUCUGCAAAACCGUAAGGUGACGUAUAGGGGCUGACGCCUGCCCGGUGCUGGAAGGUUAAGAGGAGUGCUUAGCUUCGGCGAAGGUACGAAUUGAAGCCCCAGUAAACGGCGGCCGUAACUAUAACGGUCCUAAGGUAGCGAAAUUCCUUGUCGGGUAAGUUCCGACCCGCACGAAAGGCGCAACGAUCUGGGCACUGUCUCAACGAGAGACUCGGUGAAAUUAUAGUACCUGUGAAGAUGCAGGUUACCCGCGACAGGACGGAAAGACCCCGUGGAGCUUUACUGCAACCUGAUAUGGAAUGUUUGUACCGCUUGUACAGGAUAGGUAGGAGCCGAAGAGACGUGUGCGCUAGCAUACGAGGAGGCAAUGGUGGGAUACUACCCUGGCUGUAUGACCAUUCUAACCCGCCACGCUUAGCGCGUGGGGAGACAGUGUCAGGUGGGCAGUUUGACUGGGGCGGUCGCCUCCUAAAGAGUAACGGAGGCGCCCAAAGGUUCCCUCAGAAUGGAUGGAAAUCAUUCGCAGAGUGUAAAGGCACAAGGGAGCUUGACUGCGAGACUGACAAGUCGAGCAGGGACGAAAGUCGGGCUUAGUGAUCCGGUGGUUCCGCAUGGAAGGGCCAUCGCUCAACGGAUAAAAGCUACCCCGGGGAUAACAGGCUUAUCUCCCCCAAGAGUCCACAUCGACGGGGAGGUUUGGCACCUCGAUGUCGGCUCGUCGCAUCCUGGGGCUGUAGUCGGUCCCAAGGGUUGGGCUGUUCGCCCAUUAAAGCGGCACGCGAGCUGGGUUCAGAACGUCGUGAGACAGUUCGGUCCCUAUCCGUCGCGGGCGCAGGAAAUUUGAGAGGAGCUGUCCUUAGUACGAGAGGACCGGGAUGGACACAC